CAAGUACCGUGAGGGAAAGGCGAAAAGAACCCCGGGAGGGGAGUGAAAUAGAUCCUGAAACGAUAUGCAUACAAACAGUCGGAGCCCGCAAGGGUGACGGCGUACCUUUUGUAUAAUGGGUCAGCGAGUUAUUUUUUGUGGCGAGGAUAACCUUUUGGGGAUCCGUAGGGAAACCGAGUCCUAAAUGGGCGUUUAGUCGCAAGUAAUAGACCCGAAACCGGCGCGAUCUAUCCAUGGACAGGUUGAAGAUUGGCUAACACCAAUUGGAGGACCGAACUUGUUACUGUUGCAAAAGUAUAAGAUGAGCUGUGGAUAGGAGUGAAAGGCUAAUCAAGCUCGGAGAUAGCUGGUUCUCCCCGAAAGCUAUUUAGGUAGCGCCUCAUGUAUGACUCGUUGGGGUAAAGCACUGUUUCGACUAUGGGGCUACUUGUAGCUUACUGACUCGAUGCAAACUAAGAAUACGACGAAGUUUUAACAUGGGAGACACACUGCGGGUGCUAAGGUCCGUAGUGGAGAGGGCAAUAGCCCAGACCAUCAGCUAAGGUCCCUAAAUUAUCACUAAGUGGGAAACGAGGUAAGAAGGCAUAGACAUCCAGGAAGUUGGCUUAGAAGCAGCCAUUUUUUAAAGAAAGCGUAAUAGCUCACUGGUCGAGUCGGCUUGCGCGGAAGAUUUAACGGGGCUUAAGUGAUAUACCGAAGCUAUGGAAUGUAAUUUAUUUACAUUGGUAGGGGAGCGUUCUGUAGAUCUGUGAAGGAGUUUUGAGAGGUACUCUGGAGAUAUCAGAAGUGCGAAUGCUGACAUGAGUAACGUAAAAAUAAGUGAGAUUCUUAUUGGCCGAAAGUCUAAGGUUUCCUGCGUAAUGUUAAUCAACGUGGGGUAAGUCGGUACCUAAGGCAAAACCGAGAGGUGUAGUCGAUGGAUAGCUGGUUAAUAUUCCAGUACCGUCUGAAUCUGUGAUGGAGUGACAAAGAAGGCUAGGUCUGCCUGGAUUUUGGAUUUCCAGGUGAGAGUUUGUAGGUAGUUUUUAUAGGAAAAUCCGUAGAAAUGUUGAUCUGAGGAACAAUGCGAGUUGUUAUGGUUUACCAUGAUGAUAAAGAGACUAAUGCCAGGCUUUCAGGAAAAGCUUCUAAACUUAAGGUUCAGAUGACCGUACCGUAAACCGACACUGGUAGACAGGUAGAGAAUACUAAGGCGAUGAGAUAACCCAGGUGAAGGAACUAGGCAAAAUGACACCGUAACUUCGGAAGAAGGUGUGCCGAUUUAGGUUAAAAGAUUUACUCUUUGAAGCUUUUAUCGGUUGCAAAUACUAGGUGGCUGCGACUGUUUAACAAAAACACAGCACUCUGCUAAAUCUAAAGAUGAUGUAUAGGGUGUGACGCCUGCCCGGUGCCGGAAGGUUAAUUGAAGGGGUUAGCGCAAGCGAAGCUCUGGAUCGAAGCCCCGGUGAACGGCGGCCGUAACUAUAACGGUCCUAAGGUAGCGAAAUUCCUUGUCGGGUAAGUUCCGACCUGCACGAAUGGCGUAACGCUGGCCACGCUGUCUCCACCUGGGACUCAGUGAAAUUGAAAUCGCUGUGAAGAUGCGGCGUACCCGCGGUUAGACGGAAAGACCCCGUGAACCUUUACUAUAGCUUUACAUUGGGCUUUGAUGAUUUUUGUGUAGGAUAGGUGGGAGACUUUGAGAUCUAGACGCUAGUUUAGAUGGAGUCGUCGUUGAAAUACCACCCUUGAAUCUUUGAAGUUCUAACUCAGGUUAAUCCGAGGACAUUGUAUGGUGGGUAGUUUGACUGGGGCGGUCUCCUCCCAAAGAGUAACGGAGGAGUACGAAGGUGCACUCGGUAUGGUCGGAAAUCAUACCAAGAGUAUAAAGGCAAAAGUGCGCUUGACUGUGAGAGUGACGGCUCAAACAGGUACGAAAGUAGGUCUUAGUGAUCUGGUGGUUCUGUAUGGAAGGGCCAUCACUCAACGGAUAAAAGGUACUCCGGGGUAUCGUGACUGGGGAAACAGAUUAUCGUGACUGGGAAAC
rnacentral:rRNA from 1 species